rnacentral:lncRNA from 1 species
GAGUAUCUCACACAUCAAUGCAUAAGUACACACAUGAGUAUCUCACACAUCAAUACACAAAUGAGUAUAUUAGAAGCAAAGCAAAAGAAAAUAGAGAAAGAUAAAUGUAAAUAAUAAAACAACACACAGAGAGAGAAACGCACGGGAAAGAGAAAAUCGCAUGGAGAAAGAGAAAAAACACAGGGAGAAGGGCUGACCGUUGACGAUUGCGGCGAUGGGGAGACAUCACAAGUGGGCGCGAACAUAAGCACCAGGAGGGGUACCUUGAAUCUGUGGUGGCCGAAGAUGUGCUUGACUCAACCAGAUCUAUGGUGGCCGACGAUCUUGCAAGAGGUGCGCGGUGAUUCGACGUCGACAACGAUCUCUUUCUAUUUUGAUUCUUCUUUUUUUAUUUGUUAUGUUGUUUGUGUUGUUUUCUUUUUAAAAAAUUUUACAGGUUAAAUUGGUGCGGGGUAAAGGUGAUAUUUGGAUACAAACCAUGUGAGAAAGGAGAGUGUAUGGGAAGAGCUUUUAGUGGAGAAUUGGUAAGAUGGUGGUAAAUGACUUUUUUUUAUCUAUGAAGAUGAUGAGUAGUGAUUUUUAGUAUGAUUUUCAACUUUCUGAAAGUGAAAAGAGAAUAACAUGGGAGAGUGCGGUUUUUUUUUGAAAAAAAUAGUAUGAGAUCUUGUAGAUGUGUUUCAGGUGUUUCUCUUGUAUUGUGUAUGUGGCUUUUUUACUGUGUUGUUGGUAUACGCUCGUAAGGGUUCCCUUGUGUAUAAAUUGUUGGAUUAUUUUUAUAUUAAAAAAUUAGGUUAACACAAAUGGAAACAAAUAAAAUUGAAUCAAAAUAAUUAACAAAAAUAAUCAUAAUUUACAAAACAAAUAUGGAUUUUGAUGAUCUUAACUAAUUAAAUUGAUUAUUUCUUAAAUUAAAACUUCUGUCUUAAAAAAUAGAAUAAUUUAAAAGGGAAAAAAUCAUUCACAAUCUUUCUUAUUUUAUGACUUUUUUUACUGUUUAUUCAUAAAACGUGAUUUAAAUGAAAA